CAGUAGCCGCGGUAAUACGGAGGGUGCGAGCGUUAAUCGGAAUAACUGGGCGUAAAGGGCACGCAGGCGGUUAUUUAAGUGAGGUGUGAAAGCCCCGGGCUUAACCUGGGAAUUGCAUUUCAGACUGGGUAACUAGAGUACUUUAGGGAGGGGUAGAAUUCCACGUGUAGCGGUGAAAUGCGUAGAGAUGUGGAGGAAUACCGAAGGCGAAGGCAGCCCCUUGGGAAUGUACUGACGCUCAUGUGCGAAAGCGUGGGGAGCAAACAGGAUUAGAUACCCCAGUAGUCCCUGUCUCUUAUAC
rnacentral:rRNA from 1 species